UGCUGUGAUGAUUCAAUAGACUAGAGUCUCUGAAGACAUUAUGAAGCUCUUAACAUUUCACUGAGCA